rnacentral:rRNA from 1 species
GUUCCAGACUCCUACGGGAGGCAGCAGUAGGGAAUCUUUUACAAUGGGCGAAAGCCUGAUGGAGCAACGCCGCGUGCAGGAUGAAGGCCUUCGGGUUGUAAACUGCUUUUAUAAGCGGGAAAUAUGAUGGUAACUUAUGAAUAAGGAUCGGCUAACUACGUGCCAGCAGCCGCGGUAAUACGUAGGGAGCAAGCGUUAUCCGGAUUUACUGGGUGUAAAGGGCGCGUAGGCGGGCCUGCAAGUCAGAAGUGAAAUCUGGGGGCUUAACCCCCAAACUGCUUUUGAAACUGUGGGUCUUGAGUGAUGGAGAGGCAGGCGGAAUUCCCAGUGUAGCGGUGAAAUGCGUAGAUAUUGGGAGGAACACCAGUGGCGAAGGCGGCCUGCUGGACAUUAACUGACGCUGAGGCACGAAAGUGUGGGGAGCAAACAGGAUUAGAUACCCUUGUAA